UUUUAACUAACAUUGAUUAUCAGCUGUUUUGUACGGAAAACGUGGAAUCUAAAUAAUAUACAGUUUCCCUGCUCUGCUGCUAUAUUGGCAAUACAUUUUUGUCAUGUCAUCUGCAACAGACGAUCAUACAUAUGUGACGGAUUAUCGAUAUAGCUAGGUAGCAAUAGCAGUGGAAGCCCGGAUUUGCAAGCCAAAUGAGGCUUUUGUGGGAUUUUGUCCAGCAGUUUGCCUUAAAAGAAUUUUUUUAUAUUUUAGUUUCAUAUUUAUGUGGAUUCCAAUAAAAAUCAUACAAACUUU
rnacentral:sRNA from 1 species